GGAAAGCAGUAACUAAAUCAUCCCACUGAAUACAGACAGUCUGCAGCAAGACCUGUUGUUUCGACCCAUCUGGGGCGUCAUGUCCCAGAUAACUCAUAGUGGGUUUCAGCAAGGCCACAGGUGAUGGAAAUAAAAGCAGCUAGAUUGCUCAGCACCAUGCUGCUGCACGGCUCUCUCCUGGGUGGGAUCUCUGCCCAUGGUAUGAAAAGCAGGCAGCCGAGGAACCCAAUGUCCUGCUCUUCCUUGCUCCCACAUCAAGCAUGUGGAUUGCUCCAUGGAAAUCAGCGUUGCUACUCACGCGCUCAGCACUAAGCAUGUGCAUAUGUCUGUUCAGGAUCCGGGCCAGGAGGAUGGAUGAGUUUUUUUAUCCUGCAACUCUGGGACCUUUGGGGGGUGUCUGCAUUGUGCAGCUCGGGGAAACAGAAGACGAGUCUGCAUGCAGCUUGGUGCUACUGCACCAGAAAGGGAAGCAGCUCUCUGGGGCAGUGAGGUGCUGUCCUGCCACCACCACGCACCACUGCAGGGAUGACUAGUUUGGCAUAGGAGGAAGAAAACCCGGCUUUAGAAGAGGAGUUCAGACAGGAAGCAGCAAUAUUCCAGGAAGAUUUCCGAGUCAAACAGGAGAGGAACUGGCUUCUCGAAGAGAGUAUUGCAGAGAUUCCCUAAAACAUUCAGCUGCACAGCUGGAGCAGGCUUGUAGUUGCCACUGGGACUGUGUAUAUUGAGCUGAGAUGACUGAAGAACUGAAGUGGCUCAUGAAGUCGAGGACGGUAGCCUGCAGCAAUGAUGGCAGCAAGGUUUGUUCUCUCAGCAGAAGGAAAACCUGAACUGGGCAGAGAGAGGAUAAAGCCCUCCUGCGCAUCCUUCUGAGGCACCACAAGCAGCAGCAGCAGCUUCCUGCUGCCCCCGGCACAGGUAAGUCUGAUGUGCACUACUU